CGUAGGUGGCAAGCGUUGUCCGGAUUUACUGGGCGUAAAGCGAACGCAGGCGGACCUUUAAGUAGGAAGUGAAAGGUUGGAGCUCAACUCUAACACUGCUCCCUAUACUGGAGGUCUUGAGUGCCGGAGAGGAGAACGGAACAAGUUGUGUAGCGGUGAAAUGCGUUGAUAUAACUUGGAACACCAAUGGCGAAAGCAGUUCUCUGGACGGAUACUGACGCUCAGGUUCGAAAGCCAAGGUAGCAAACAGGAUUAGAUACCCUGGUAGUCUUGGCCUUAAACGAUGUUCACUAGGUGUUGGGGGGUAACCCUCGGUGCCGCAGCUAACGCAUUAAGUGAACCGCCUGGGGACUACGGCCGCAAGGUUG
rnacentral:rRNA from 1 species